rnacentral:piRNA from 1 species
UUUUCUUUUCUCGGUCCUUAAAGUCCAAUC